CAUUUUAAGUGUAAAAUGCGAGGUUGAAGUGUCAACGGAAGUUUUUUUUUCGAAGUCGGUGCUAAUAUAAAAUAAUCAUCCAUUUCCUGCGAAUCAUCCUUACACGGGAAAAUGUUGUGACCGAACGUCGCUGCUACGCUCCUCCUGGCUGAGCUGAGUGGAUUCAAAAAUUCGAGUUCAGCGAAUAUGGUGUGGAUUGAGGUGAAAUUGUUGAGUGGACAUCCGUACGAAAAGGGUCCCGUAAAUACAGCUUAUGUAUUCAGUUUCCCGCGCUCAGUAAGGGCGGUGCGAUGGUGGCGAGUGUGGCAGAAUAUGUUCUGAGAUGAUUAGAUAAGCUAUAUUAGACAAUAAAUCAAAUUUAACAAAUAA